rnacentral:rRNA from 1 species
UACGGAGGGUGCAAGCGUUGUCCGGAUUCAUUGGGUUUAAAGGGUGCGCAGGCGGGACAUUAAGUCAGGGGUGAAAGACGGUUGCUCAACAAUCGCAGUGCCUUUGAUACUGGUGUUCUUGGGUGACCUUGAGGUAGGCGGAAUGGGUGGUGUAGCGGUGAAAUGCAUAGAUACCAUAAAGAACACCGAUUGCGAAGGCAGCUUACUAAGCUGUAACUGACGCUGAGGCACGAAAGCGUGGGGGAGCGAACAGG